GAUCUACGGGGUUGUCCGCACGGCUAGCAUACAUUUUAGGUCCCCGUUACAGAAACAGGUUAUGUACUUCGCUAAUGGGUUAACGACGCCUCAAAAGUAUGUACCUUUUCUACCUGAUCACCGCAAUUAGUCUCACGGAUACUGUUUCGCGUGACUUGUUUUUUUUCUUCUCACACUAUUCACUAUGUGGAGCCCUCUGAGAGUCAGGCAUUUUGUGAAAUAAUGCUUAAUUUGCCUAAUCUAAAACCCAGCAAGCCCCUAAUAUAAACAUUCAAAAUUUUGAAGCGCGCAUCUUUUUAAUCGUUCAUUUUUUAAAGUCGCCAGGCAAAAGCAAAAUAAAGGAGGGGGAAAAGGGACUUGGCGACAGAGGGGGUCAGCAAAUACAAACCGUAAAACAAAUGACGACCUUGAUAGACUGUGGCAGUGCAGCUUUAUGGCGUUUACUGCAACUCGCCCACCCCCCCUCGUAUUUGUUUAUUUCCCCAGUGCGCCAGAACCCCACUGCAACUCGCCCACACACACCCAAAUUAUUUGUUUAUUCUUUCGUAGGGCGCCGACAACCUCCUUCCACAACCCCACCUAUCCUUACCUGCUCCACAAACUCUAGGAGGGCACUUCUUACCCCAGGCUUUCUUUGUACACCCCGGUAUGUCAGCUUGUGCCUCUCCAAUCUCGCCGACUUACUGGACAGAAUAAAACGUAGUCUCAUGUCUUUGGAAUUUUUUGAUAUGGAGGGCGAAAGAUGGUGAACUAUGCCUGAGUAGGGUGAAGCCAGGGGAAACUCUGGUGGAAGCUCGUAGCGAUUCUGACGUGCAAAUCGAUCGUCGAACUUGGGUAUAGGGGCGAAAGACUAAUCGAACCAUCUAGUAGCUGGUUCCCUCCGAAAUUUCCCUCAGGAUAGCAGCAACUCAUUUACGAUAGUUUUAUGAGGUAAAGCGAAUGAUUAGAGGAUUCGGGGAAGAAACUUUCUCGACCUAUUCUCAAACUUUAAAUCUGUAAGACCUGCAGGUUUCUUAAUUGAACUUGUGGAUGUGAAUAUCAAGUUGUUAGUGGGCCAUACGGGGUAAGCUCGUCUGGCGAUGCGGGAUGAACCGAACGCAAAGUUAAAGUGCCAAAAUACUCGCUCACCUAGAUACCAUAAAAGGUGUUGGUUCAUAUAGACAGCAGGACGGUGGCCAUGGAAGUCGGAAUCCGCUAAGGAGUGUGUAACAACUCACCUGCCGAAUGAACUAGCCCUGAAAAUGGAUGGCGCUAAAGCGGGUUACUUAUACUUUGCCGUUAGCGCGAUAACAUGAGUAGUGUAAGCGUUAAUGAGUAGGAGGGCGUGUGGGUCGUUAAGAAGCUUGUGACGUAAGUCUGAGUGAAACGGCCUUCAGUGCAGAUCUUGGUGGUAGUAGCAAAUAUUCAAAUGUGAACUUUGAAGACUGAAGUGGAGAAAGGUUCCGUGUGAUCAGUAAUUGGACACGGGUGAGUCGAUCCUAAGAGAUAGGAAAAUUCCGAUUGAAAGUAGAGCAGUUUGAGGCGCGGGUUUACUCGUGUUUUAUUUCAGCUUCGAAUAUCGAAAGGGAAUCAGGUUAAUAUUCCUGAACCGAGACGUGGAUAAUAUGUGGUAACACAACCGAACCAGGAGACGCUAGCGUGAGCCCAGGGAAGAGUUCUCUUUUCUUUUUAACAAGCAUGUCCUACCUUGGAAACGGAUUAUCCGGCGAUAAGGAGGAAGUCUUGGCAAAGCACUUUAUUUUUUGAAGUGUCCUGCGCGCCCAUGUCAGCCCUUGAAAAUCCUGGCUAGAGAUUUAUUCGCACCCUCGUUCGUACUCAUAACCGCAUCAGGUCUCCAAGGUGAGCAGCCUCUAGUUGAUAGAAGAAUGUAGAUAAGGGAAGUCGGCAAAAUAGAUCCGUAACUUCGGGAAAAGGAUUGGCUCUGAGGGUUGGGCCUAGGGGUCUUUGUGGAGUGCUUGUGGCGGCCUACGCUGGACUGUGUAUGGUUCUUUCGGGGACUGAAUGCGGUUUGGUGGUCGGGCUACUCUUGCUGUGCCAUGAAGAAAGGUAGUUGACUUUCGGGUUGGCCGCUGUUUCCUUAGUGCGUUGAACAACCAGCUCAGAACUGGAGCGGACAAGGGGAAUCCGACUGUUUAAUUAAAACAAAGCAUUGUGAUGGCCGGAGACGGUGUUGACACAAUGUGAUUUCUGCCCAGUGCUCUGAAUGUCAAAGUGAAGAGAUUCAACCAAGCGCGGGUAAACGGCGGGAGUAACUAUGACUCUCUUAAGGUAGCCAAAUGCCUCGUCAUCUAACUAGUGACGCGCAUGAAUGGAUUAAUGAGAUUCCCACUGUCCCUAUCUACUGUCUAGCGAACCCACAGCCAAGGGAACGGGCUUGGAAUAAUCAGCGGGGAAAGAAGACCCUGUUGAGCUUGACUCUAGUCUGACGUUGUGAAAUGACUUGGGAGGUGUAGAAUAAGUGGGAGGCUCUGCCGCACGUGAAAUACCACUACUCUCAAUGUUGUUUUACUUAUACCAUGAUGUAGCAACUGGUUGGCUUCGCGGUCGCUCAGUUCUAGAAAUAAGCCAGGUUAUACCUAGGCAAGCUACGUGGAAGACAUCGUCAGGCGGGGAGUUUGGCUGGGGCGGCACAUCUGUUAAAUGAUAACACAGGUGUCCUAAGGUGAGCUCAAUGAGAACAGAAAUCUCAUGUAGAACAAAAGGGUAAAAGCUCACUUGAUUUUGAUUUUCAGUAUGAAUACAAACCGUGAAAGCGUGGCCUAUCGAUCCUUUAGUUCUUUAGAAUUUUAAGCUAGAGGUGUCAGAAAAGUUACCACAGGGAUAACUGGCUU
rnacentral:rRNA from 1 species